UAAGAAGAAAGCCCAAAGACAAAACCAGAGGCAACUGGCUGCUGCAUCGCCCACCUAGUGGCAGUAGUGUGAGCUAUGGACAAAAGAUCUAAGUCUCCAGGACAAAGAGUUGUGCAGCUGCUCAUUUUCCUGUUGACUUCUGUCUAAGACUUGGAGAUGUUUGUAAGAUUGGGACCUACCUACAGAGCUCCAGAGGGAAGUGAGAAGGAUGUUCACUUGCUGGUGAGAGAAGGAGCUGGUUCCAUCCAUUACGCAGUCCCCUGGGAGCGCUAAAUGCAACUUUAUCUCAACGGGGAGUGGACGAUGAGCAGGACGUCGCUAGAGGGAAAGAGUGAGUCCUACGGCCUCACUUCCCGUUUCCUUUGGCAGCGCCC
rnacentral:lncRNA from 1 species